GACGAACGCUGGCGGCGUGCUUAACACAUGCAAGUCGAACGGAAAGGCCCUGCUUUUGUGGGGUGCUCGAGUGGCGAACGGGUGAGUAACACGUGAGUAACCUGCCCUUGACUUUGGGAUAACUUCAGGAAACUGGGGCUAAUCCCGGCUAGGAGCUCCUGCUGCAUGGUGGGGGUUGGAAAGUUUCGGCGGUUGGGGAUGGACUCGCGGCUUAUCAGCUUGUUGGUGGGGUAGUGGCUUACCAAGGCUUUGACGGGUAGCCGGCCUGAGAGGGUGACCGGCCACAUUGGGACUGAGAUACGGCCCAGACUCCUACGGGAGGCAGCGGUGGGGAAUAUUGCACAAUGGGCGGAAGCCUGAUGCAGCAACGCCGCGUGCGGGAUGACGGCCUUCGGGUUGUAAACCGCUUUCGCCUGUGACGAAGCGUGAGUGACGGUAAUGGGUAAAGAAGCACCGGCUAACUACGUG
rnacentral:rRNA from 1 species